rnacentral:tRNA from 1 species
GCUCAGUUGGUAGAGCCCCGGAUUGUGAUUCCGGUUGUCGUGGGUUCGAGCCCCAUCAGCCA